UGGGGAAUAUUGCACAAUGGGCGCAAGCCUGAUGCAGCAACGCCGCGUGAACGAUGAAGGUCUUCGGAUCGUAAAGUUCUGUUGCAGGGGAAGAUAAUGACGGUACCCUGUGAGGAAGCCCCGGCUAACUACGUGCCAGCAGCCGCGGUAAUACGUAGGGGGCUAGCGUUAUCCGGUUUUACGGGGCGUAAAGGGUGCGUAGGUGGUCUUUCAAGUCGGUGGUUAAAGGCUACGGCUCAACCGUAGUUAGCCUCCGAAACUGGAAGACUUGAGUGCAGGAGAGGAAAGUGGAAUUCCCAGUGUAGCGGUGAACUGCGUAGAUAUUGGGAGGAACACCAGUAGCGGAGGCGGCUUUCUGGACUGCAACUGACACUGAGGCACGAAAGCGUGGGUAGCAAACAGG
rnacentral:rRNA from 1 species